CAAAAACACUCUACCAACUUCUUCAAAAUCGAAAACAUCGACUCAAAAACUUCUUCACUCUAUCUGUUCUCUAAGAAUUGAACAGAAGACUCUUGGGAACACGUAUCUUAGAUAUUCACGAUCAAUAGCAAUGGUUGGAGAAAAUCAUGAAUUGUUGUAGGAAAUCCGCAAGCAUCUUCUCUACCAUGGUAUCUUUGAGUGAAAUCAGCUAAGUAUAGUCCGAUUUGUGCGUCUCUCCAAGGUUACUCAGAGAAAUUUGCAUAUACAAAGCACACGUUUCUCUUGUAUAAGCUAUAAAAAUUAUGAUCUUCAUCUCUUUUAUAUGAUUGAUGAACAACGAAAUCAUAUUUUUCUUCUUUUGACUUGGUUUGACUUUGCUUCGAUUGAAACUAUUCAGACCUUAUCUUGGUGUUUCCAUAUCUUUAAGGGGCAUGUGUCAAAAGAAGAAGCACAACCUUUCAUCGUCACUUCUCAACACUUUUUGUUCAUCAAGCCUGGUCAUUUGGUUGUAUUGCUCUUGUCAAUUUCUACGGACAUAUAGGUUCUUAGAGUGUUCUUCUCAUCAAGAAUACUUGCAUCGAUGUUGGCUAUCAAUUUCAGCAAGACCUCUAACUCCUAGGCUUUAGAAUUUCAGAUGAAAUGUGCGUGAAGAUAUGCAGUUUAGAGGACCUUGUGAAGUUCCAUAUCAUAUAAACCGGGAUAAGGUGUUCCAACCAAGCAAUUUAUCUUUAAAAAAUUUGUCAUGCUCUCCAUUACCUGAAUAUAACUGUAACUUUUUUAAGAAUUCAUUACCCAAGUUGCAAAUAUAUUUCCAAAGUGCUAUCCCAUAGCUAGCAUUAGAUAUAUAAAAA